CAGUAGCCACGGUAAUACGAAGGGGGCUAGCGUUGUUCGGAUUUACUGGGCGUAAAGGGAGCGUAGGCGGAUUGUUAAGUCAGGGGUGAAAUGCCAAGGCUCAACCUUGGAACUGCCUUUGAUACUGGCGAUCUUGAGUCCGGGAGAGGUGAGUGGAACUGCGAGUGUAGAGGUGAAAUUCGUAGAUAUUCGCAAGAACACCAGUGGCGAAGGCGGCUCACUGGCCCGGAACUGACGCUGAGGCUCGACAGCGUGGGGAGCAAACAGGAUUAGAUACCCGCGUAGUCCCUGUCUCUUAUAC
rnacentral:rRNA from 1 species